UACGAAGGGUGCAAGCGUUAAUCGGAAUUACUGGGCGUAAAGCGUGCGUAGGCGGUUUGUUAAGUCUGCUGUGAAAUCCCCGGGCUCAACCUGGGAAUGGCAGUGGAUACUGGCAAGCUAGAGUGUGUCAGAGGAUGGUGGAAUUCCCGGUGUAGCGGUGAAAUGCGUAGAGAUCGGGAGGAACACCGAUGGCGAAGGCAGCCCCCCUGGGCUAACACUGACGCUCAGGCACGAAAGCGUGGGGAGCAAACAGG
rnacentral:rRNA from 1 species